ACGACCUUACUUGAACAGGAUCUGUUCUAUAGGCUUGUACCGCUGCAUCCUAUACCAAUAAGGAGGCAAGCACUUUAGUUUGGUUGAUGCAAUCUCACCUCUAGGCCAGAGCGUGAUUAACGGCAUUGAUGCACCUGAUGGGUGUCAUCUGAUGGCUGUAGAGGAUCGUUCCUGUCUGUGAGCCUCUGGCUCACACUAGUGCAGGGUGGCCCAGAGGUUGUCUGACAGACU
rfam:Hordeum vulgare subsp. vulgare, WGS project CAJW01000000 data, contig: morex_contig_60674